rnacentral:rRNA from 1 species
UACCCUUGACAUGUACGGAAGUCUGCUGAGAGGUGGGGUGCCUGAAAGGGAACCGUAACAC